rnacentral:rRNA from 1 species
ACGAUGGAGCUUGCUCUGUCUGAUCAGUGGCGAACGGGUGAGUAACACGUGAGUAACCUGCCCCCGACUCUGGAAUAACCGUGGGAAACGACGGCUAAUACCGGAUAUGAGACGCACAGGCAUCUGUGGGUCUGGAAAGAUUUAUCGGUCAGGGAUGGACUCGCGGCCUAUCAGCUUGUUGGUGGGGUAAUGGCCUACCAAGGCGACGACGGGUAGCCGGCCUGAGAGGGCGACCGGCCACACUGGGACUGAGAUACGGCCCAGACUCCUACGGGAGGCAGCAGUGGGGAAUAUUGCACAAUGGGCGCAAGCCUGAUGCAGCGACGCCGCGUGAGGGAUGAAGGCCUUCGGGUUGUAAACCUCUUUCAGCAGGGAAGAAGCGAAAGUGACGGUACCUGCAGAAGAAGCGCCGGCUAACUACGUGCCAGCAGCCGCGGUAAUACGUAGGGCGCAAGCGUUGUCCGGAAUUAUUGGGCGUAAAGAGCUCGUAGGCGGUUUGUCGCGUCUGCUGUGAAAACCUGAGGCUCAACCUCGGGCUUGCAGUGGGUACGGGCAGACUAGAGUGCGGUAGGGGUGACUGGAAUUCCUGGUGUAGCGGUGGAAUGCGCAGAUAUCAGGAGGAACACCGAUGGCGAAGGCAGGUCACUGGGCCGCAACUGACGCUGAGGAGCGAAAGCAUGGGGAGCGAACAGGAUUAGAUACCCUGGUAGUCCAUGCCGUANACGUUGGGCACUAGGUGUGGGGCUCAUUCCACNAGUUCCGUGCCGCAGCAAACGCAUUAAGUGCCCCGCCUGGGGAGUACGGCCGCAAGGCUAAAACUCAAAGAAAUUGACGGGGGCCCGCACA